UGGGGAAUAUUGGACAAUGGGCGCAAGCCUGAUCCAGCCAUGCCGCGUGAGUGAUGAAGGCCCUAGGGUUGUAAAGCUCUUUCACCGGUGAAGAUAAUGACGGUAACCGGAGAAGAAGCCCCGGCUAACUUCGUGCCAGCAGCCGCGGUAAUACGAAGGGGGCUAGCGUUGUUCGGAUUUACUGGGCGUAAAGCGCACGUAGGCGGACUUUUAAGUCAGGGGUGAAAUCCCGGGGCUCAACCCCGGAACUGCCUUUGAUACUGGAAGUCUUGAGUAUGGUAGAGGUGAGUGGAAUUCCGAGUGUAGAGGUGAAAUUCGUAGAUAUUCGGAGGAACACCAGUGGCGAAGGCGGCUCACUGGACCAUUACUGACGCUGAGGUGCGAAAAGCGUGGGGAGCAAAACAGGAUUAGAUACCCUGGUAGUCCACGCCGUAAACGAUGAAUGUUAGCCGUUGGGGAGUUUACUCUUCGGUGGCGCAGCUAACGCAUU
rnacentral:rRNA from 1 species